CAUGAUCAUAAAGCCAUGAGGUUGCUUCUGGAAGGCUGAAAUUGCGCCAAAAAAAAUGUGAGAUGUUUGUGCUGUUUAGCUAGCAGCUGGCUUGUUUGGAAUAUCUGUCCAGCUCAAGAAUGGCUCCAGUGGUUAGAAACAGGUGUUGGAUGGCAGAAUGUUUUUAUGGAAACUUCAAGCAUAUGACAGCUUAAUUUUCUUCCACAAGGCUGUGAGACCAGUUUGCAGGUGAUGCUAAAGUUAUCAGAUCUACAGCACCAGGUGACAUACAGCCAACACUUAUUGUCAAAAGAAAUGUCGUCUGUGCCUCCUUUGUUAAACCAGCAUAUGUGACUGUGUAUGGAGAGAUGCCGUAUUUUGAAGAGAUGCUGACAUCACCUCUUGUUUACGCAGAAGAAAUGCUUCCACGCUGUCACUAGAUGAUUCUCACUCAUUACAAUGGCACCAUGAUGACUGUUUACAGAUUACAGAGAACCUAAUCUAACGCCUUUCUGCAACUAUUGAAUAAUUGGAACACAACUUGUGACUUCAGCCCAGUGACAUUAAGCUAGGUUCUGUCAUAGCUGUCUCUUUAAAGAUGAACAAUUAAACUUAUAUACACACACGGUGCGCACAGGGAAAAAAGGUGAUUAUGGCAGAAGUGCAGCAUUUUUCUUCGACUACCUUGAACGAUAAACAUGGAUGUAAUUUGGAUUUAUGACCUCUGGCUGCUAUUUUAAGUGUUGUGUUGCUGUGUGUCAAUAAAGCUUUGACUUCUCUUA